rnacentral:rRNA from 1 species
AGUAACGCGUGGAUUAUCUGCCCUGAGGUGGGGGAGUAACCCGGGGAAACUCGGGCUAAUACCGCAUAUGACCGUGAGGUCAAAGGGGGGUCGCAAGAUCUCUCGCCAUAGGAGGAGUCCGCGUUCGAUUAGCUAGUUGGUAGGGUAAUGGCCUACCAAGGCGAAGAUGCUUAGCGGGUGUGAGAGCACGACCCGCGCCACUGGCACUGCGACACUGGCCAG